ensembl:lncRNA
CAACCAGAAAUACAAAAACAAAAAACAAAAAAAAAAUACUAAAAAGUUGAAAGUAAUAAACUAGAAAGCAAAAUGAUGAUGAUCAGCAAAACCAAAACUUGUAAAUAUUGCUGCAAUAAACAUACAUGUGUGCGUAUUUAUAGUAGAAUGAUUUAUAAUCCUUUGGGUAUAUACCCAAAGGAUUAUAAAUCAUUCUAUUAUAAAAACACAUGCACAUGUAUGUUUAUUAUGGCCCUGUUCACAAUAGCAAAGACUUGGAAGCAACCCAAAUGCCCAUCAGUGAUAGACUGGUCGGGCACAUAUACAUCAUGGAAUACUAUGCAGCCAGAAAAAAGGAUGAGUUCAUGUCCUUUGUAGGGACAUGGAUAAAGCUGGAUACCAUUACUCUCAGGAAACUGACACAAUAACACAAAAGCAAACACUGCAUGUUCUUACUCAUAAGUGGGAAUUGAACAAUAAGAACACAUGGACACAGGGAGGGGAAUAUCACACACCAGGGCCUGUUGAGGAGUUGGUGGUGACGGGAGGGAUAGCAUUAGGAGAAUUACCUAAUGUAGAUGAUGGGGUGAUGGAGGCAGUAAACUACCAUAGCAUGUGUAUACCUAUGUAACAAACCUGCGCAUUCUGGACAUGUACCUGACAACUUAAAGUAUAAUUAAAAGAAAAAAUAAAUAAAAAUAAAUCAUCUAAUCCUCACUAAAAAAUAUAUAAACAAAUUCAGCAGUGGAACAGGAUAGAAAAUCAACAUACUAAAUUCAGUAGCAUUCCUUUAACAAUAAACUCAGAAAAAAGAAAUUUCAUUCACAAUAGCUGCAAAAACAGAAACCACCUAGGAACAAAGUUAACCGAAGAGGCCAAAAACCUGAAUAAUUAAAUCCAUUAAAAAACUGAGACAAGUUGAAAAAUAAAAGCAUAGAAUAAUAAAAAGACAAGUUUUCUUCAUGGAUUAGAAGAAUUGAUAUUGUUAAAAUGUCAAAUUUAUCUAUAGUAAUGCACAGAUUCAAUGCAAUCCCUAUCAAAAUUCUAGUGACUUUUUAAUAGCAAUUGUAACAGCAUUUCUAAAAUUUGUAUGAAACCACAAAAACUCUAAAGUGCUGAAAUAAUCUUGCACAUACAGAAAAGGUGAAUCCAUCAAGCUACCUGACUUCAAAAUAUACUGUAUAGCUUUAGUAAUCAAGCAGCAUAAUAUUUGUAUAAAAACAGACACACAGACCAAUGGAACAGAGAGCCUAGAACAGAGGCUUUAGAAUAGAGAGCCUAGAAAUACGUCUAUUCAUUAUGAUCAAGUGAUUUUUGACAAAGUUGCCAAAAAUAAUGUGGAAAGAAAAUCUCUUCAAUAAAUGCCGUUAGAAAAACUGAUUAUUUACAUAAAGCAAAAUGAAAUUUGACCCUUAUCUUACACUAUUAUAUAAAAAACAAUUCAAAAUAUAUUAAAGACUUAAAUCUAAGGCAUAAAAUUGUCAUACUAGUAGAAGAAAACAUAGAGAAAUAUUUGAUGACAUUCAUCUGGGCAAUAAUAUUUUAAAUAUGACCCCAAAGGCACAGGCAAAAGAAGCAAAAAUAAAUAAAUAUAAGAUUAAGCUAAAAAUCUUUUGUACAACAAAGAAAACAAUCAAUAAAGUGAAAAACCAACCAAUGGAAUGAAAGAAAAUGUUUGCAAACCAUUAACUUGAUAAGGGAUGAAUAUAUAAAAUACAUAAGGAACACAAACUACUCAAUAAUAACAAAAGAAACAAUCUGAUGAGGAAAUGGGUAAAGGAACUGGAUAUAUAUUUUUCAAAAGAAGACAUACAAAUAGAUGACAAGUACAUGAAAAAAUUCUCAACAUCACUAGUCAUCAGAUAAAUGCAAAUCAAAAUUAAAAUUGCAUGUCACCUCACACCUAAUAAAAUGCCUAUUACCAAAAUGACGAAUGUUAUCAUUACUGGUGAGGAUGGAGAGAAAAGAGAACCCUCAAGCUCCAACUUAUUUAAAUUAUCCAUGUUUCACAUUCCUUUUUUUCUAUAAUGAGAAUAAUAAUAAUUUCAUUCAAAUUAUUUUGAAAUUUAUAUAAUUUAUAAAUGCCUGCUGCUUUGUAGGUACUUCAUACAUAUUAAGUUUUAAAAACUUGAAAAAAAAUUGCAAAAAAAAUUUAAAGUACAAUAUUAGGAACACAGGAAAAUUAAUUAUUUGAAUGUAAAAGUAAACAAAAAUAUAGAAGAAAAUCUUCAUAACUUUGGGGUAAACAAUGAUUACUUAGUACAAAAGAUAUAGAAUUACUUAGUACACAAGAUAUAGAAUAAAAAUCUAGUAACUUGGAUUUCUGAGAACUAAAACUUGAGCUCUUUAAAAAUAUUUCUAAUAUGCUAGGAAUUUUCCCUGUAAAAUGCGAAAAAGCAAACCAAGACAAAUGCUAUGUGCAAUCCAUACAUUUGACAAAAUAUUUCUAUCUAGAAUGUAUAAAGAAACCUUAAAAUAAAAACUCAACCCAAUAAAACUUGUGAGUUAUUUGUAAAGACACUUGAUAAAAGAAAAUAUAUGAAGGGCUAAUAAAUGUGAAAGUUAUUCAACACAAUUAAUCGCUGAGAAAUGAAAAUAAAAUUAUAAUAUGGUGCCAUUACAUAACCACUGACAAAGCUAAAAUUUGAAAAAGAAGGCAAAACAAAAGAAAACAAACUACUUUUGAUGAACAAAUGGAAAAGUUAUAACUGUAAUGCUUACUGGCAGGAAUGAAAAGUGGUACAACCAUUUUAGAAAAAAAAUGUCAAGUUUUUAUAAAAUUAAAUAUACAGUUACUAUGUAACUCAGUAAUUACACUCUUAGGUAUUUACUCCAAGUAAAUGAAAGCCUGUGCCCACACAUAGUUGCGUGCAUAAAUAUUUAGUAGCUUUAUUCAUAAUCAUCCCAAACUGGAAGUAACCCAAGUCCUCAUGAACAGGUGAAUUGUUAAAACACAUUUUGGUCUGUCCAUACAAAGGAAUUCUACUGAGCAAAAAAAUAAAAACAAACUCCUGAUAUAUAAAGUAAGUAAUGACUCUGAAAAACAUGCUGAAUAAAAGAAGUCAGGUAUAAGAAGGUGCAUACUAUCAUGUUAUUUCAUUUAUAUGACGUUCCAGAAAAGGGAAAACUAAUCUAUAGUGACAGACCACAGAGUAGUGGUUUGACUGCGGCUGGAAUUGAUUGCAAACCUUUGAGGUUAUAUUCUGAUUGUGAUAGGAGUGAUGUUUUGACUUUUGUCAAAACUCAUCCACUUAAGAUGGGUGCAUAUUAUUUUAUGUCAGUGUUACCUCAGUGAACAUUUUUGAAAAUGUUUAAAAAAUGUCACUUAUGUAAAGCACAAGAAUAAAGUUAAGUAUUUCAUGGGAAAUGUUUCUAAUAGGCUAGCACUUAACAAAAAUACAGCUCCAAUGUUGAUUUACUAAAAAAAAAGUUAUUUGAAGCAAAACAUUUAUUACUGAGUAAGAAAGGAAAAUUAGUCUUGAGGUCUCCUAAAUGUAAACUACAAGUUCUGGGGCUAUGACAUUUGAUGAGGAAGUCCAGAAGACAUUGGAGACUGUGGGAAUUAGCAAUCCACACCUUAUCAUUAAGCAUGCCUGUAAUGAUCAUCAUGACGGAAAGGGUCCUGGUGAGGGUAUUUCUGGUUUAAAAGAACCUCAACAAUUAAAAACUAGAAACCUCAGAGUGACAAGAACUUGGAUCCUUAGCUUUAGAUACUUUAUGCUGUGACCUACAGUGCUUGAUGUCUUUUAAAGACAGGUUAGUCAUUUCUCUGUAAAAUGUCUAUUCCACUCCUUAAGGGUGUUGAAAGGUUAAAAUAAAAUGAAAAAUAAGGUAAAAUGUAAUAUAUACCUUGCUCUGAUCACUGAUACCAAGAAUUUACAAACACAGCUACAAAUGCCAGUAUUUAAUAACCUCGAAUUAAACCACACUGUAUAUAUUAAAGAAGGCCAAGGAACAGAUGGGUGCAUGAGUGUGGAAAUUUGUAUGGAUUAACAGUAGAUUACAUUUUAAUCUUAAAUAGAAAGGAUGCUAGAAUAUCAGGUCAUGCCUCUCAUCAUUCUGGAAUACCAUUUAAGAUUUACAUAUAAAAGUUGGUAGAAUUAAAAAUGGAAUAUAUAUGUUAUCAAAACUCUGGCAAAAACAGGGCUGGGCAGUGUGGUGCUCACCUGUGGUCCCAGCUACUUAGAAAGCUAAGGUGGGAGGAUGAUUUAACUUUGGGAGGUCAAGGCUGCAGUGAGCAGUGAGACUCUGUCUGAAAAACAAAAACAAAAAAACUCUGAAAAAAAUAAAAGCAAAGGUAGCCUAAUCUCUUCCAGCCAAAAAAGAAAAAAAAAAAAAGCAGAUGAGAAGGGAAUAGGAAAUAUGGAAACCCACAAAUAAGAAAGAGUAAAACAAGAUGAAGUUUGUAGGAACAAAUUUAUCAAAUUACCAAAUGAAAAUCAGUUAAUUUCCCCAAUUACAGUAUAUGUUAUUCACAAUAAAACCAGGAAAACAUUUUAAGUUAAGAAAUGACCUGUUUAUUCUUCAUUUUUUAAGAUGGAAAUCAUUCCAUUUAAGAUGGAAAUCUUACAAAAUGAAGAUUGAUAAAAUAGAUAUUAUAUUUACACAACAGCAGUAAAUGAUGAAGAAGGCAGGGAAAAGAGGAGAGAAAUCAUAUGCAGUAGUUUGUCUGAAAAGUUUAGUAAGGAGAUUGGCUCUGACCUUCUCAGAGAAUUGCUACAUUGUACUAGCUGCUUUUCCUUCCUCAAUAGAAAAGAUUCCUGGCAGAUAAUAUCAUGCAUUGUCGAAGACCUAUUUUUUAUACACACACACACACACACACAUAUAUUCAGAAGUGUAUGUGUCAGUGUGUCUGUGUGUACUUCUGAUGGAGCAUUUUCAUACACCCAUGGGAGAAGAGACUAGAGCUUCUGACAACCACAAAAGGACAUUACUGAAGUAAGCAUCAGGUAAGGCAGUUUCUAAUUACAGUAAACACACCCUAAAUCUCCUCCUGCUGUGCACGGGGAAAGACAUAUGGAAAAUGCUGAGCAUUGUCUUGCACUCUAACAGUUUACAAUUUAAUUGUUGAGAUGGAUUGUUCACAUAUGUAAAAGAAGC